GUGUCAGCCGCCGCGGUAAGACGUAGGGGGCAAGCGUUGCUCGGAAUCACUGGGCUUAAAGCGCGUGUAGGCGGACCGGAAAGUCAGGUGUGAAAUCCCUGGGCUCAACCUAGGAACUGCAUCUGAAACCUCCGGUCUAGAGUGUCGGAGAGGGAAGCGGAAUUCCGGGUGUAGAGGUGAAAUUCGUAGAUAUCCGGAGGAACACCGGUGGCGAAGGCGGCUUCCUGGACGACUACUGACGCUGAGACGCGAAAGCGUGGGGAGCAAACAGGAUUAGAUACCCUGGUAGGCCACGCCGUAAACGAUGAGUGCUAGAUGUCUCGGGUAUUGACCCCCGAGGUGUCGUAGCUAACGCGUUAAGCACUCCGCCUGGGAACUACGGCCGCAAGGCUAAAACUCAAAUGAAUUGAUGGGG
rnacentral:rRNA from 1 species